CCAAAAUGCUCCCUCUCUCUCUCUCUCUCUCUCUCUCUUUGAGUCUCAGCCUCAAGAGAACAAUCAGUUCAAUGGCGGAGGAGCAAGAGGUUGUGAUCGUCGGUCGUCGGCCUGGCGACGACGGUGGAGCUGCAGAGCCUGGACGUUCAUAGCGUCGUGCUGGAUAGAUCCGACGGGCCUAGGACCACGGGCGCAGUGCUCUCCUUGUUCCCUAACGCCUGGCGUGCUCUCGAUGCUCUCAGAGUCGCCCACAAGCUCACCUCGAUUUACCCACCGAUGGAAGAGUAAAAAGCUUCUCCCUUUUUACUCCAGACCAAUUUGGGUGAAAGUUUGUUGACGGUAAUUUCUGUUGUGAGCAGUGGAAGUGUUACUAAUCUUGAGACUGGGGAGGAGUUCUUGAUCAAUUUUACUGGGAACAUGUACUUGAUUUGAUUCGUGUGUCAUUGAUGGUUCCAAUUUGAUGGAAAUUUCUAUCAUCUUUUUGACAGAACUUCCGUCAUCUUUUAGGCUCGUGCGUGGAUUCAGGUUCAUUGAUUCACAUGGUUCAUGUACCUUCUUCCCUCUCUUUGCCCCUCUCCCUCUCCAAUUAAAACCCAACACCUUGAAAAAACUAUUUGAACCCCACUCUCUCUUGUCCCAAAUCUUUCUACGUCCAUCUCUGAAUCUUGGGUCCUCUACAAGAUUUGAUCUUGAUUGGUGCUCCGAAGCUGACCAUGAAUUGAUAGAUUGAGGUCAUGAAAGCUCUAAUAGAUAGAACAAGCAUGUGGUUAGAGACAUUUGAAGGCUAUAAUCCAUGGGGUUGAUACGAAUCAAGUAACUACUCCCGAUGCUGAGUCGGAUGUCAUCCGUGCCAGGCUAUCAGCUGAACUUCUAAUAGAAGGAUGACAACAAAAGAAUUAAGCAGAGAUAUUUGAUAAGGAUGAGAGAAAGUUGUUCUAAAAAUUGAUUGGUUGAAUCAAUCAUGUAUGUAUUGUGCAUAUUAGUUUAGUUGUGUAAACAGUUGAUGUGGAUGACAAACAAUGCAGCAAGCUUGACCUUUUUUGUUCUUA